AUACGGAGGGUGCAAGCGUUAAUCGGAAUCACUGGGCGUAAAGCGCACGUAGGCUGUUAUGUAAGUCAGGGGUGAAAGCCCACGGCUCAACCGUGGAACUGCCCUUGAUACUGCACGACUUGAAUCCGGGAGAGGGUGGCGGAAUUCCAGGUGUAGGAGUGAAAUCCGUAGAUAUCUGGAGGAACAUCAGUGGCGAAGGCGGCCACCUGGACCGGUAUUGACGCUGAGGUGCGAAAGCGUGGGGAGC
rnacentral:rRNA from 1 species